ACUCCUACGGGAGGCAGCAGUGGGGAAUAUUGCACAAUGGGCGCAAGCCUGAUGCAGCCAUGCCGCGUGUGUGAAGAAGGCCUUCGGGUUGUAAAGCACUUUCAGUCGUGAGGAAGGUAGUGUAGUUAAUAGCUGCAUUAUUUGUACGUUAGCGACAGAAGAAGCACCGGCUAACUCCGUGCCAGCAGCCGCGGUAAUACGGAGGGUGCGAGCGUUAAUCGGAAUUACUGGGCGUAAAGCGCAUGCAGGUGGUUUGUUAAGUCAGAUGUGAAAGCCCGGGGCUCAACCUCGGAAUAGCAUUUGAAACUGGCAGACUAGAGUACUGUAGAGGGGGUUAGAAUUUCAGGUGUAGCGGUGAAAUGCGUAGAGAUCUGAAGGAAUACCGGUGGCGAAGGCGGCCCCUGGACAGAUACUGACACUCAGAUGCGAAAGCGUGGGAGCAAACAGGAUUAGAU
rnacentral:rRNA from 1 species